GUUCUUUAAAUCACCCCAGUCAGCUGGCAGAACAGGUAUCAGAACCUGAUGAAAGCCAGGCUCUGCUGUGAUCUAGCUGGGCCCCAUGGAAUGAAGAGGGCCACUGUCAGUCCCUGGAACCCAUGGAAGCAAGGCUCAGAUGUGAAAAAGGCCUGCACCCAAGAGCCCCUCAUGGAACCAGGGCUGCAGUGUGUCACUGAGGGAGGGACCUCAUGGCAGCAGGAGAGCAUUGUGAGGCUGUGCAACAACAGGGCACCAAGGUUCCACUGUGACUUGACAGAACCCCAUGGAUGUGAAUGGCCCCAAACCAGGCCAAGAGACACUUCCCAGACAAAGCCCAAGGAGAGGGAUUUGCUUUAUUCAGCACACCGGGUGUGCGGGGAUAUCUCCUCCUGACAGCGCACACAGGAGAUUACAAUAUAUGGUUAUACUCUAUGCAUAUUCAUGUUCCUCCUCAGAAAAGCCUGGCCAGGACUCAAGGAGGAGCCAAGGGAGGUGACUUUGAUCCCACAGCCCCAAACAAAGCCAGAUGGGGCCUUGUCCAGUUUCCAAACACAGAAAGUGUUUCAAAUUGUGGUCGAAGCAAGAGGAAAUUGCUGCGUGCCCUUCCAGCUCCAAGCAGCACUGGGAAUAAAAACUGUGUCAAAC